ensembl:lncRNA
UUGAGAAGAAGUCGGCUUUUGGCCCCAGUGAGGUGAGGCCGAGGGAGAAGUCUGCGGCGAGGACGGGAGCGGGUGGAGGGCGGACGCGGUGAGAGCGGGUGGACGCUGCUGCGAUAGCCCAGCGAGAGGCCGGCGGCAGCCUGGAGGUGGCGAGGCUGCUUGGGUUGGGCAGAUAUUCCAGAGGCAGGGCCCACGGGAUCUCCCGGUGGAGCAGGCUAGCAGCGGAAGAGGAAUAGGAGCUGGGCAUAACCUCGGCCUUUGAUCUGAGCACCUGGGAGCAUGGCCCUGAGGCCGCCCGCGAUGGGGAAGGGAACAGGGAGCGCCCUGGGGUGGGGCGCCCAGGAAUUCUGUCCGGGGCACGGUCGGCUGCGUUUUCGUGAGGAGGCCAGAAGAGCUGUCGCGGCGGCAAGACCCCAGCGUGGGCCCCGUGGGCAUCCCGCCGAGUUUGCAGGAAUGACACGUGUACAAGCCGGCGGGCGGCCGCUGCGAACCGGGUUCUGCGGUGAGCGGGGCGCCGGGGCUCGGCCUGGGGCCACCUCCGCCUGGGGACGUCGUGGAGAAGCCGGGCUCCAGGGCCCCAGCCCCGGCCGCCAGGCGCCAUCGCAGGCGGGGCAGGGAGCCGGGGGUCCCCGGCAGCGGCGCGCGGGCGUGGGCGGCCGCACCCACUCCGGCCCGGGCCGCACGGCCGCCCGCACUUGCCCUCUGGCGGCGGAAGCGCGCAGCGCGUGUCGAGCAGGGAACCUGGACCCGUUCAGCUUCCAUUUCAGCGUGCUGCUGUCUGGGUCUCCUUGGGCACCGCGACGAACAGCGCGAGGACAGGACCCAGCAGACCGUGGGGCGCGUCGGGCAGCGGUUCCCAGUGCAAGUGUCUUUUGCUGCUGACCGACCUCAGACCCGGCCCUCCUGGAGAUCUCCUCUCCCUCGGGAUCCCUGUGGCCUCCUACCCAGUUCCCACGUAGCCUGACCCACCAGGACCAGGUUGGGAGCUUUAUGAAUUUUAACACGUUAGGAUAGCCGUCACUACAACAGGAUACAAAAUGUUUCCAUCGCCCCAAAAAACUCCCUCCUGCUGGGGCUUUAUAGGCACAGCCCCCCGUCUGAGCCCCGGCAGCCACCGCUCUGCCCUCCGUCACCACAGCUCUACCUUUUGGAAUGUCGUACAAAUGGAACCAGACUGUGCGACCUUGGGGACCAGCUUCUUUCACUCAGCGCGAUGUCUUCGAGAUUCAUCUGGGUGGUUGUGUGAUCAAUAGUUUGUGUCUUUCCGCAACUCCCCAGUGUUUCCUGGUGUAGAUGGCCACAGUCUGUCUGCCCAUUCAUCCAUGAAAACAUAUUUGGGUUCUUUCCAGCUCUUACAAAUAAAGCUGCUGCCAGUAUUCACUACAAGUCUUUGUGUGAACAGACAUCUUCAUUCCUCUAGGCUGAAUGCCCAGGGGUGGGGUUGCGGCAUCCUAGGAUAAGCAUGUAGCUGCAGUCAUAGGAAACUGAGAAACCGGUUUCCAGAGCGCCUACCUCAUGUUGCACUCCAAGCCUCAACAUGUGAGGGUUCCAGUUGCUUCACGUCCUUGUCAGCACUUGGUAUUAUCAGUAUUUCCUCUUUUAGUCAUUCUGAUGAGCGUGGUGAUAUCUCCUCAAGGUUCUAAUUUGCAUUUCCCUAGCGGCUAACUAACGGUGUUGAACACGUUUUCAUAUGCUUGUUUGCCAUCUGUACAUCCUCUCUGGUGAAGGGUCUGUCCAAGACCUUUGCUGUUUGUAAAUUGUGUUGUCUUU